rnacentral:lncRNA from 9 species
CUAAAGACAAAAGACCAAAAAAAAAAAAAAAAAGUUUGUCCAAAUGCUACUGUUCUUUCUGCCCUCUAUUUUACUCUAGUCUAUCAGAGAGUAUAAGGAAGAGGUGGUCUUUAUAAUAGUCCUUGCCUUUUUUUGGCCAUGCCCAGGGCAUGGGUUCCUGGGCCAGGGAUCGAACCUGUGCCACAGCAGUGACCUGAACCACAACAGUGAUAAUGCUGGAUCCUUAACCUGCUGAGCCACCAGGGAACAUCUGUUCCAUGUUUUUGAAACGUCUACUCAACUCCUCCAGCCCCACCUCCCCUACCUACCUCUUGCCUUUUGUGUGCACAGUAUUGAAUCCACUCUAGGUAAACAUUACAGUAACUGGCUCUCGUUAUUCCCUGGAGACAUGGAACGUAGUCAUCGUCAAUGUUCAUAUUGAACAUGGCGAGGUCACGCUCGAUGUAAUGCCACUUGGUGAACGGCUGCAGCGACUUCAGAAGUGACUCAUUUUUGAUCCAGGAGAGGAGUUUGGGGGACGUCACCAUAUAGUAUAUCGGAUGAGGAUCCUCCGGAGGUCAAAGACCUGCAGCAUGGUGGCCGCGUUGUUGUCCAUGAUGCUGUAACCCUCCAGGAUGUACUGUGUACGUGUGAUCUCCCAGGUAAGCCAGCGGAGGUUAAAGGCGGCAUUGCAGGACAACAGGUGGGGCAGGUGACCGGGUUGGCAGCAACAGCAGCCUCUGUCGUCCUCGUCACCCUCCAUGAUGGCUUCCACCUCCCGCUGCUGGCAGUAGGUUCCUGGCAGAGUAGCAAACAUCGUGGAAGUGAUACAAGAAGUCUCAGGAUAAUCUUUGUUUACAAUGGACCUCCCCCUAACCCUUAUAGAGGGGAAGAUGCUGAAAAGAGUUUAGAAAUCAGAUUUAUUUUAUUCUUAGUUCAAACAAGUACCCCCAAAUAAGUCACUAAUUUUAUAAAUCUUACAAUCAUUCAUUUUUUUCUUCCUCUCAAUGUAUUCUUUUUUUUUUUUUUUUUUUUUUUUUUGUCUUUUGAGGGCUACACCCAAGGCAUAUGGAGGUUCCCAGGCUAGGGGUGGAAUUGGAGCUACAGCUGCUGGC